rnacentral:lncRNA from 1 species
UGUAUUCAAACCUCAGUUAUGAAUGUCUCUAAUGUGAGCAAUAUAUACAGUUUAUGCAUUUAUUGUCCUUUUCUAAUUUGUACCUUUAUUUAGAGAGUGAUAUGCAAGCUUGUGUCAUUGUAAACAUUGCAGCACAAGGUAAAAUAUUAUAUUUUCAGGCUGCUAUGCAGAAGCAUAAUAAUUAUGAGCAAUCUUUGUUCUUAUAAAAAUGUCCAAUAAUCUUGUGAUGAAUGAUCCUCAUUUCCUGAUAAUACAGCUCUUUUAAGGUCACCAAAAUAACUUCAAAUCUUCAGAAAUGAAGGGUGUAGCACUGACAAGUAGCAAUAAAAACUACACAUAGCCAAAAGUCAUGAUUUAGAGAUCUUUGUGAAAGUGUCAUAAACAGUGUUCUUGGUCUAUAGAAUGAAGAUUUAUCAGCAUUUCCUAUUCAGUGUGUGUAUAUACAGUAACUGGAAAGUCAGCAACAACUGGAAUAUCCAGUAGGAGAGCAGCAGAACAAUUUAUGCUGAUAUAGCUUGUCUGUGAGUCAUAUAAUACCAAGAAGGUGCCAUUGCAUUAUUGUACUUCAGAUUCUGAGAAAUGGGUGACAUUGGGCUAUGGCUGCGUUCAGCACAGAAAACAUUGAUAUGAUGCUUGAAUACAUGACAGCAGUGAAGCAACUGGUGGUGACAGCAGGGAUUUUAUAGACCCUUUUUCAGUUUGUCACUAAGGCUGGAUUACAAGAUUUUGAUUUUAGCAGUUAGAUGUCCAAAACACUGUUCUGCUCUGCCUGGUCUUAGGAGUGAUGUGAUAAAAGUCUCACUGUUCUUUUUUCCUUUUAGGAUUACACUGCUGAAAUUAAUCAUAUAUGAAGCCUCAAUUUAAAUCAAGGCAGAACCUAACAUUGAUUUUCUUGAAGUUAAUUACAGCUCAGUAUUGGACAACGUUACAGCAAAGCUACAUUAAAACUACCCAUGAAGAAUGUAGGUCACUGAGGGUACAGUGCCACCAUACCUUGUUGGUUUCAGCACGUCAGAAGAAACGCUUAGAUACUUAUUCCUGAUUUCUUUGCUACAAAUAAAAAAAUUUGUAUGCUUUUCUGAGUCUUGAAA